CGCGCCGCAAGUCCUCCCGCAUCAGCCUGCUGCCUGGCAUGGAGCCGCUCGCGAGCCCCGCCGCCCUCGACGCCGACCACGCCCCGCCGGUCACCCACGACCUCAUCAGCUGGGACACGCCCCUCGAGCGCAACGCCAGGAGGCGCUCCAGACGCUCGGCCGUGUCCUCCCUGGCGACCCCCAGACGACAGUCCCGGCGAGUGAGCAAGGCGCCGGUGCUCUAAGGCGAGGCACCGAACCAGCAGCGAAAGUCUUGAACCCCAGAACCGACGAAUCAGGUCAUCUCGGAAUCAGUGAGCGAGUGAGAGCCAGAAUCGGGAAAGCCACUCGUUCAGGCCAUCGUGCAGUGAGUGAAUCGGCGAAUGAUUAGAUUUCUGAAUCCGAGAACUAGGUGGGCUUCGCGAGGACUCGGGACGGAGACGGUUGGAAAUGGCGCCGCGGAUCGAGAUUCAUCAAACCCUUUUUUCUUUUUUUGCAACAUUUCUGAAAUGUUGUUAUUAUUUUAGGGGGGUUUAGUGUCAUAUGAAAUUAUAUACGAAAGCUAUUAUCUGAGAAGUGUGAGUUUUCUUUGUUGUUGGGAGUCUUUCCCAAGUAUAUAAUCCAAGUUUUUUCGCGCUCCUCGUGAUUUUAGUUGACAAUCGACGCAGGUUCGAUUCAAAAUUCUACUUUUUUUUUAGAGCUUUAAUGUGUCAUAUAUUCAUUCAACCGUAGCUGGCGUGAUCGGCCAGUGGUAUCGAGAUGAAAUCCAUCAAGCGAACAUAUUUCAGCUUGUAUUAUUUCCAUUUUAAUGAUAAGAUAUAUUCGUUUCUUUUGAGUUAGAAUGUAUAAUGUAUAACAUGCAUUCUAACAUAUCUUCGAAGGCUUCUCUUGUUUUGUAUGACUGUCACUCAUUUUUUUCAUUCCAGUAUUAUACUCUGCAUGCAUCUACGUACCUGAAUAAUGAAUAAUAUUAAUAUCAGGAUGUCAGAACACAUUCUUGUAUCUCUAUCCACAGGAUUACUUAGGUUUAUAUAUAGGGUUUUUGUUGUAAAUAUAAAUGUCUAUGCCAGUAAACACUUCAUUUUGUUCUAUUUUUUCAAAAAGUUUUCUUCUCUUGAGUGUGUGAACUUUUGCAUUUAUACUUAGAUUGUACUAGUUUUAUAAAUGGUGUCAAAUAAGUAAGAUUUUUUUCUUUCAUGUAAUAGGUAAAGAUGUAAGACCGUUUUGUGGAAUGUAUAAUGGAUGAGAUUCGUGUCAUAAAUAGAAAUUCUUAUUGUUUAGAAAUAAAUUCGUUUUAUUGUUUUGUUAAAGCAAAGAGCCUGCAUAAUAUUAUGCAGAUAACACAUUUGAUUUAACCAUCAUCUUUGGUGCUGAAAAUAAACACAUUUACCA